UUGGAGGGCAAGUCUGGUGCCAGCAGCCGCGGUAAUUCCAGCUCCAAUAGCGUAUAUUAAAGUUGUUGCAGUUAAAAAGCUCGUAGUUGAAUUUCGGGAUUGACGUGAUGGUCAUGCCUUAAGGGGUAUGAACUGUCACAGUUGAUUUCUCACCUUCUGGAGAAACUUGAUGUCCUUUAUUGGGUGUCUUGCGGAUCCAGGACCUUUACCUUGAGAAAAUUAGAGUGUUUAAAGCAGGCAUUUUUGCUCGAAUACAUUAGCAUGGAAUAAUAGAAUAGGACGGCAUGGUUCUAUUUUGUUGGUUUCUAGGAUCACCGUAAUGAUUAAUAGGGAUAGUUGGGGGCAUUAGUAUUCAAUUGUCAGAGGUGAAAUUCUUGGAUUUAUUGAAGACUAACUACUGCGAAAGCAUUUGCCAAGGAUGUUUUCAUUAAUCAAGAACGAAAGUUAGGGGAUCGAAGACGAUCAGAUACCGUCGUAGUCUUAACCAUAAACUAUGCCGACUAGGAAUCAGACGAUGUUAAUUUUUUAAUGACUCGUUUGGCACCUUACGGGAAACCAAAGUGUUUGGGUUC
rnacentral:rRNA from 1 species